rnacentral:tRNA from 2 species
GGGCUCGUAGCUCAGCUGGGAGAGCGCCGCGUUCGCAACGCGGAGGCCGAGGGUUCGAACCCCUUCGGGUCCACCA